GAUACUAAGCCAUGUGAGUCAUUGUAGCAAUACAAGGCAGGCGGCUCAGUAACACAUAGCCAAUCUACCCUAUGGACGGGGAUAACCUCGGGAAACUGAGGAUAAACCCCGAUAGAUCAUUAUGCCUGGAACGGUUUAUGGUCCAAAUGAUUCGUCGCCGUAGGAUGGGACUGCGGCCUAUCAGCUUGUUGGUGAGGUAAUGGCCCACCAAGGCUAUUACAGGUACGGGCUCUGAGAGGAGAAGCCCGGAGAUGGGUACUGAGACACGGACCCAGGCCCUAUGGGGCGCAGCAGGCGAGAAAACUUUGCAAUGUGCGCAAGCACGACAAGGUUAAUCCGAGUGUUUCCUGCUAAAGGAAUCUUUUGCUAGUCCUAAAAACACUAGCGAAUAAGGGGUGGGCAAGUUCUGGUGUCAGCCGCCGCGGUAAAACCAGCACCCCAAGUGGUCAGGAGGAUUAUUGGGCCUAAAGCAUCCGUAGCCUGCUCUGUAAGUUUCCGGUUAAAUCCAUUAGCUCAACUGAUGGGCCGCCGGAAAAACUGCAAAGCUAGGGAGUGGGAGAGGUAGACGGUACUCGGUAGGAAGGGGUAAAAUCCUUUGAUCUAUUGAUGACCACCUGUGGCGAAGGCGGUCUACCAGAACACGUUCGACGGUGAGGGAUGAAAGCUGGGGGAGCAAACCGGAUUAGAUACCCGGGUAGUCCCAGCUGUAAACGAUGCAGACUCGGUGAUGCCCUGGCUUGUGGCCAGUGCAGUGCCGCAGGGAAGCCGUUAAGUUUGCCGCCUGGGAAGUACGUACGCAAGUAUGAAACUUAAAGGAAUUGGCGGGGGAGCACCACAAGGGGUGAAGCCUGCGGUUC
rnacentral:rRNA from 1 species